rnacentral:rRNA from 1 species
CCUACGGGCGGCAGCAGUGAGGAAUAUUGGUCAAUGGGCGCGAGCCUGAACCAGCCAAGUAGCGUGAAGGAUGACUGCCCUACGGGUUGUAAACUUCUUUUAUAAAGGAAUAAUGUGAGGCACGUGUGCCUUUUUGUAUGUACUUUAUGAAUAAGGAUCGGCUAACUCCGUGCCAGCAGCCGCGGUAAUACGUAGGGUGCGAGCGUUAUCCGGAUUUAUUGGGUGUAAAGGGGGCGGAGAGGGGGAUGUAAGCCAGUUGUGAAAGUAUGGGGCCCAACCCUCGGAUUGCAAUUGAAACUGGGUGGCUGGAGUACAGUAGAGGUAGGCGGAAUUCGUGGUGUAGCGGUGAAAUGCGUAGAUAUCAGGAAGAACACCGAUGGCGAAGGCAGCCUACUAGACUGCAACUGACGUUGAGGCACGAAAGCGUGGGGAUCAAACAGGAUUAGAUACCCCAGUAGUC